CCACUUCAUCACCCACAAAGCUUGCAACGAAACCUAAAGACUUGGCCUUCCGAUGCUGAACGUUCCCUAUUUACCUACCAGCCUCAGCAAGAGAUGUCUCCUAAUGGCUUAUUUUUACUGUAAUACCUCUAUUAUUUAUAAAUUCGGAUGGUGCAACCUAAAAUUCUUUCAUGUCAUAGUUACACAUUAGCGUGACAGAAGGCCUCACCCUUCUUCUAAUUCAGUGAGAUUACACAUUACAAAAGAGUCAUUUCUGUGUUCCGAAGAACAGUUCCCAGUUCCCAGUCCUGUAACCACACAGUAAAACAAAGCAAGAAGCCAGCAAAGUAAGAGGGAGAAAUAGAGACGUCCAGACAAGGCCUGUGCAGCCCCACAGCUCUUCUGAAGACCUGAAAAUAUGAAAACAUUUCCACGCCACGCUGACAGUUCAUUCCAUGUCCGCCCAGCUGAGGGUUUAUGUAGCUGCAAGAGCCGUCUGACUUUAUGAGCAAAAUUAAUCACUGAUAUAUGUGAAAAACAACAUUGAAAUUCAAAUUUUGUCACUUAUGCUCAGAUCUAGGUUACCUAAAUAUGUUUGAACUACAAAUUCUGUGGCAUAAGUAGGUUGGGAAUCCAUUCAGGUCCAAUGACAAAAGGGUUCAGAUCUAGGAAUAAGCACGCUGACUGUUAUUGAACGAGGUUUCUACUUUUUUUU